GAUGAACGCUGGCGGCGUGCCUAAUACAUGCAAGUCGAGCGAACAGACGAGGAGCUUGCUCCUCUGACGUUAGCGGCGGACGGGUGAGUAACACGUGGAUAACCUACCUAUAAGACUGGGAUAACUUCGGGAAACCGGAGCUAAUACCGGAUAAUAUAUUGAACCGCAUGGUUCAAUAGUGAAAGACGGUUUUGCUGUCACUUAUAGAUGGAUCCGCGCCGCAUUAGCUAGUUGGUAAGGUAACGGCUUACCAAGGCAACGAUGCGUAGCCGACCUGAGAGGGUGAUCGGCCACACUGGAACGGAGACACGGGCCAGACUCCUACGGGAGGCAGCAGUAGGGAAUCUUCCGCAAUGGGCGAAAGCCUGACGGAGCAACGCCGCGUGAGUGAUGAAGGGCUUCGGAUCGUAAAACUCUGUUAUUAGGGAAGAACAAAUGUGUAAGUAACUAUGCACGUCUUGACGGUACCUAAUCAGAAAGCCACGGCUAACUACGUGC
rnacentral:rRNA from 1 species